UGAUACAAGAAUGGGUAUAAAGCCGGAAU
rnacentral:sRNA from 1 species